CACAUGCAAGUCGAGCGGUAGGGAAGGAGCUUGCUUCUUCUUGAGAGCGGCGGACGGGUGAGUAAUGCCUAGGAAUCUGCCUGGUAGUGGGGGACAACGUUUCGAAAGGAACGCUAAUACCGCAUACGUCCUACGGGAGAAAGUGGGGGAUCUUCGGACCUCACGCUAUCAGAUGAGCCUAGGUCGGAUUAGCUUGUAGGUGAGGUAAUGGCUCACCUAGGCAACGAUCCGCAACUGGUCUGAGAGGAUGAUCAGUCACACUGGAACUGAGACACGGUCCAGACUCCUACGGGAGGCAGCAGUGGGGAAUAUUGGACAAUGGGCGAAAGUCUGAUCCAGCCAUGCCGCGUGUGUGAAGAAGGUCUUCGGAUUGUAAAGCACUUUAAGUUGGGAGGAAGGGUUGUAGCUUAAUACGCUGCAACUUUGACGUUACCAACAGAAUAAGCACCGGCUAACUCUGUGCCAGCAGCCGCGGUAAUACAGAGGGUGCAAGCGUUAAUCGGAAUUACUGGGCGUAAAGCGCGCGUAGGCGGCUUGAUAAGAUGGGUGUGAAAUCCCCGGGCUUAACCUGGGAACUGCAUCCAUAACUGUCUGGCUAGAGUACAGUAGAGGGUGGUGGAAUUUCCUGUGUAGCGGUGAAAUGCGUAGAUAUAGGAAGGAACACCAGUGGCGAAGGCGACCACCUGGACUGAUACUGACGCUGAGGUGCGAAAGCGUGGGGAGCAAACAGGAUUAGAUACUCUGGUAGUCCACGCCGUAAACGAUGUCAACUAGCCGUUGGAAUCCUUGAGAUUUUAGUGGCGCAGCUAACGCACUAAGUUGACCGCCUGGGGAGUACGGUCGCAAGAUUAAAACUCAAAUGAAUUGACGGGGGCC
rnacentral:rRNA from 1 species